rnacentral:lncRNA from 1 species
AUAUAAUAAAAAAAGUUAUAUGACUUUAAUUAAAUGCACUUAUUAAAAGGGUGAAAUAUUUGGAGAGGCUGUUUUUGUGCUGGAGGCACAUUUUCCAGCGCGCUGUAGAGCGUCUGCAUCCGUCCGCUCUAGGCAAUUUUUAAUACACAAAUAAAUCCGCACCUGACGUGCUGACAGAUUAUUAUGCAGUGUGGCAGCCAACAAAAGUAAACACAGGGGCAAGUUUUAACCUCUUGCAGUCCUGGAGCUUUCCCUGCUGGGCCCGGCUCAGGUGUACAGGGCUGCUGGCAAAGCCUUCCCUUCCAGGGAGCCAUCUUCCUGUCCUGUCCCUGGAAACAGGGGGCUCCUCUCCCAUCAGGCUGCCCGGAGUGAGGCAUAUGCCAGGGGACAGGAGACACGACCGAGAGGAAGGCUGGCAACACGCGGUGCUCCUCAAGCGCCCUGCCUUCCUUCCAUCCUGUUUAUCCCAGGGCCAUGAGAUCCGCCAGCUUCGGCACAGCAGGCUGGUCAGCAAGCUGCCAGGACAGAGGCCAUUUCUCCUUCCAGCCGGCGGAGCUGGCGCUGCAGAUGGAGAACCCAGCUGGGUGUUUCUCCCAGCUCUGCCCAGAGUGCAAGUGUCAGGACGGUUACUACAGAGCUAAGGGGGCAUCAGGCAGUUUCCAUACAUGGGACCUUACAUGAUGGAGGUGCAAAGGAGCACAGGGGUACGGCAUUUACUGACACGCAUCGACAGAACUGCCCGUCUCCUGUUGCUCUGGUGAGAUGGAGCUUGCAGAGGGAUCCUCCUGGAAAGGCACCCUUUGCAGCCAUCAGAGAUUUCAGUGGCACCUGCCUGGCGUGGCUCCGUGGGCACACUCCUUGUGCCAUCCAUCUUUGAGCUGCUUUGUUCUGACCGGAGCGUUUAGGAACAAACACCAGGUUUCCUCGUCGGUAUAACGGAUCUUUGGCUGGGGAGUUGUGGGGGGGCCAAGAGAGGAAGAUUCUUAGGGCAAAGGGGCGGGGGUUCUCCCAGUGGGUCAUUCACCCAUCUAUUACCCUAGUACCUGAGAGGAGAGCACAUAUUCUGCAUCCGUAAACAGCCAGAACAACAAGAGCCAUUGUUAUUAUCCUUUACUGGCUGUUUACAACAAACCCUUCACAGCGCUAAGUGCUUUCAUACGUUAUCUCCAAAUACAUUUUAUCUCCAGACUCUCCAGGGUACAGCUCAUUAACCCAUUCGUUUUUACUACCAAUUUAACAGCUACUCAUGCUUCACCCGCAAUGUUAUUACGCUCAGUGUACGGCUCAGGAAAUUGAUGCUUAGUAAGUGUAGGUGAUUUUGCCUAAGAAAGUCGUAAGAAAAACACCCAAGUACAGAGAAGCAAUCACAUCAACCUGAAACAACACCCAGCCAGACAUAUUCCCAGUUAUGGCCCCAGAAGAAAUAGCCUUUUUUUUUUUUUUUUUCGCUAUGGAUAAGAAUGAGGAUACACAAAUUGAUUUUUUAAACAAGAAGAAAAUGUGGGCACAAUGAAAUGUCACCAAAUAAACAAAGAAAAUUCCUGCAGUGGGUGGAAGGCUGAACCAGGUGCCCUUCAAGUAUCCUGCCAACAUAUCUCUUUGCAGAGCUGACUGUUCUGACUCUGGGACCCGCCCGAGCCCUAGGAUUUCCGGGAGAAGCUUUGCUUCAAGAUUCCUAGUUAGUAUCUUCACUUCCAUCCUGCCUCUUCAAGGCACUGGGACUGAAUGUCCCCUUCCAUGCCACCUGGGAACCUUUGGGUUGUGACAAGAAAGAAAAGAUUUCUCUUUGUGAAAUCCAGCAAGAUCUGGUCCAGCAAGAUGCACACAGUCACACUGAAAGCGCUCGCCACUGGCAGCUAAGAGAUCCAGCUGGCCAUUAUCCAGCAGGCCAUCUUGCCUAUAGACAUUUGUCAAUCUCCUGAGCUUGGGGAAUGCCCCAGGAGCCUGACACCUGCUACUGAAGCUGAAAAUGCCUAGUCCUUCUUUCCCCGGCCUCCCUCACGUGUAGGGCAAGACCAAUGAGCUGAGGUUCCCCUCAUCAGUCCCACCCAUGCCUGACUUUGAGCCUGAGGCAGUAAUACAAAGUAGCACAAAUCCUGAGAAACCCACUCCAGAGAGGAUGGGUAAGAGCAGCAGCAGGAGUGAUGAUGGGCUCGGAGAGGCAGUGGUUCUCUUGCAGCCUCCUGACCCAGCAUCAGCGGUGUAGGCGAUGAUGGACAUGCCCAGUGGUUAGAAGCAAUGUCAUCAGACCACUUCAGCAGCAUCUGCGACAUGUUCCUGGAUGCGGAGCCUCCAAACCUAGUUUCCCCCUCCUCAUAGAGAUGCUGAGCUAAUGCAUUCUGCUUAUUUUUUUUUUAGGGCCACACCUACGGCAUAUGAAAGUUCCCAGGCUGGGGGUCAAAUCAGAGCUACAGCUGCCAGCCUACACCACAGCCACAGCAACGUGGGAUCUGAGCCUCCUCUGCAACCUACACCACAGCUCACAGCAACACCGGAUCCUUAAUCCACUGAGUGAGGCCAGGGAUUGAGUACCCAUCCUCAUGGAUCCUAGUGACGUGCGGUGGGCUGAGCCACAAUGGGAACUCCUCAAUCUAUUCCUAAAAAAUAUUUUUUCACCUUAGCCAGGGGUGAUUUCUGUUGCUUGCAAACAAGACCUCUGAUGGAUAUAAGAUUCUGUACAAAAAUCCUGCACUGGUACUCGGAAAUUAUAAUACUGCAUCUCUUGGGUUGGGUUUUAUGUGUUUUUGCCUUUAUAAAUUUUAACUUUGUGUUGCAAUCAAAAAUAUACAAAAGAAAACACCAUCAACCGAGGACAACCAGUAUCCUGACUUCUAACACCACAGGUUAGCACUGCCUGUUUCUGUAAAUACACAGAUGCAGUGCAUCGUCUUUCUCUGGUCUGUGCAUUACCUCUGUUUAUCUUUUAUUCAACAUUAUGCUCUGAAGAUUCAUCUGUACUCUCUGCAGCUGUUGCUCAUCUAUUUUGAGGGCUGUAUAGUAUUCCAGUGGAUGAAUAUAUCACAUAUAUCACAUAUAUAUCACAUAGUCAUUGUGAGUAUUCCAGUUGAUUUAUUCAUUCCAUUGCUGCCAAGCACUUGGGUGCUUUCUAAUUUGGGGCUAUUUCAAAAAGGCCUUCUGUGAGCAUUCUAGUACACAUCUUUUGGUGAAAUGUGAACAGACUUUUGUUGCAUAGCUAGCCAUGUUCAUAAUGCACAUAUACAUUCAACUUUAGUAGCUGCUGCUCAACAAUUUUCCCAAAUGGUCAUAUCCAUUAGAAUGAUUUUUAAUUUAAUUUCCAGAACAAUUGUUGCUCCAAAGAUAUAAGACAAUGGGGAAAAAUGAGAAAAGGAGAACCACGUAGGGAAAAAUUCAUAUGGGGACAUUUUCCCCUUCUUAAAUGAUUCCACAGCAGAUGUAUUAAGAAGCCCUGGUAUUCAGCACUUUGCCACUGGCUUGACCUGGGUUAAAUGAUUGCUGACAGGUCACCGUGAAAGUCAAGGGCACAGCUGGAACAAGACUUCUGAACUCUUGGCCUUUUGACCCAGCAGCAGAGACUCACACAUUCUUGCAGGCACCACUGGCCCCAGGAAACCAGCAGCCAAGUCUCCACAACAUCACCGCUUUGCCCAGCGUGAGAGGAGAAGGCUAGCAUUUGGACUGGGACCCCGGGCCCGAACACCUGCAGGGCCAGCAGGGACUUAAAUCUGGCCAAGAGGGCUGGGCAUGAUGGGGAUCCGGUCAGGACGGGUGGGGAUUCGAAUACACUGAGAACGAGCGCUCCGUCUUAAGGGGACAUCUAUUACUCAGCUCACAGAUUUUUGCUGCAUGGGAAAGAAGAGCCCACUGUUGCCAGAUUUUCUGACUCUUCAAGAGAAGCUGGAAAACUGGAUUUCUAAAUGAGAUACGGCAAUUGGCAAAAUAGGCAACUAAAUUGAAGAAACCCAUUAAAAAAUGAAAUCAUGCCAUUUGCAGCAACAUGAAGGGACCCAGAAAUUAUCAUACUAGGCAAAGUAAGUCAGAGAAAGACAAGCAUCAUACAUCACUUAUAUGUGGAAUCUAAAAUAUGACACGAAUGAACUUAUCUAUGAAACAGAAGCAGACUCCAGACAUAGAGAACAAAUUUAUGGUUACCAAGGUGAGGGGGAGGGAUGGGGGAGGGGCAAAUUAGGAAUUGGGGAUUAACAACAUACACUACUAUAUAUAAAAGAGAUAAACAACAAGGACCUACUGUAGAGCAUAGGGAACUAUAUUCAAGAUUGUAUAAUAAAUAUAAUGGAAAAGCAUCUGAAAAAGAAUAGAAACAUACAUAUAUCUGCAUAGCAAAAUGACUGUUAUACAUACACACUUUGCUACAUACAUGAAACAUUGUAAAUCAAUUAUACAUCGAUUAAAAAAUAAAUGAAUAAAAAUAAAAACAAUGAACACUGUCAGCCCAAUAACACACACCUAUGGAUCAGAUCUGGCCCAUGAACCACCGGGGAGGCAUCUCUGAUUGAGAUGGACUGGGCACUACACACUCACAAGAAGAGGCUUUUUGUGGCUGCACAGAGCAGAUCUCAGUGAAAAGAACUGACUGUGAGCUGCGGCGAGCAGGGACAAGGAUCAAAUUCUUGUCGUGGGCUCCCUCUUUAUGGAUGGAGGACCCCUUUUUGUUACCCCGAUUAAGUCAACAUUGAACUUCAAACCCUUAAUGUCAUGAAGACCUCGGCUAAGUCCCCUCACCCCUGAAGGACAAGAGCUCUUUCUGGCGGCUCCUAUACAUCCAGCAGUGACCUGUCAGGUCAUCAGCUGGGGGUCGCUGCCUCAGCCCCCAGCCCUCACUUCACUUGGCAGAAUCCAUUUGAAGUGAAGCUCAACUUAAAAAAACAAUUUAUCCACCGAAGAAGUCAUCACUAAGACGACGCGCUCACAUCUGACCUCCUUUCCAAUCAGCCCCAUCUCCAGAAGUGAAUUUUCGACACUGCACCUCCCCAACGUGGCUGCAAUCGCCUUCAGGAGAGCGGGUCACUUGACUCUUUUCUUUUUUUCAGCUAUUUGGCACAACUACCAUCUGCCUCUCCCUCGUUCCCUCUCCAUGACUGUCCUCAGAAAACACAUCUUGCACACGUACACACACGCACACAUGUACACACACAUAGCCCCAUACAGCAAUUCCAAGAGGGAACAGCUGGGAACAAUCUAGCAACCAGUAUGAACAGAAAGAGAGGUGCACUUAGUCUCUCCCGGCCUCACCACCCGCUCUCUAGUUCCAAGUUAGGCCAGGCACACAGGGGACACUCAACAAUCAGCCACCCAGUGUCCUUCUGCUCCCAAAACGAGCUUGCAACAUCCCACAUGCGCAAUUAAUAAAGAAGCCAAUGGCCAUGUGGGGAUGACACGAGUGCUUACCAAGGAUGUGUAGUCUCGCCACACCCUGUGGGUAGGUUGAAACAGGUGUGUCCCCCCCCCCCCGCCCCAGACAAGUAAAGAGAGACACAAGGGCUGCUGAAGCCACCUGGGCAAAGAACAGCCAGGGAGGUGAGAAAACACCUGUUCUAGACCAUAAGCCCCCUUCUGGUGUCAUCCUGGGACCGUGACAAUCACUCAAUCAAUUGAUAACCCAAUAAACGUGAGCUACGAACCAGACACUUGACAUCGUGAACUAAUGUGGUUCUUGCAACUACUCUAUGAGGUUGACUGGAGAGUCCUGGGAGGAUAAACAGCCUUCGAGGACACUAUCAGGAGAGUCCCAGAGGUCCUCAAGUGGGAGAUUUGGGGAACUAUGAAAUGGGGGCGCCUGUGGUUGUCACAACGCAUGGGAGUCAACCUUGCCGAAUACCUUCAUCACGCAGGGCUUUCCCUACUUCAAUGCCAGCAGAGCCCCAGGUAAGAAACACUGGUUGUUUUUAGCAAAGGCAGAAUCGGCUGCUGAACUGGGAUAAGUCAGCCUCCAGAGGCCCUGAUCUUGCUGCUUCUCCUUCCAGUGAUUUGAAAAAUGUUCUUUUUUUUUUUUUUUAAGGCCGCACCUGCAGCAUAUGGAAGUUUCCAGGCUAGGGGUCUAAUCGGAACUGUUGCUGCCAGCCUACGCCAGAGCCACAGCAAUGCCAGAUCCGAGCCGCAUCUGCAACCUACACCACAGCUCACAGCAACGCCAGAUCUUUAACCCACUGAGCGAGGCCUGGGAUCGAACCCGCAACCUCCUGGUUCCUAGUCAGAUUCGUUUCCACUGUGCCACGACGGGAACUCCUGAAAGAUGUUCUGGAUGCCACCUAACUGCUUCCUGGUGGAAGGACUGACCACCCUUUGGGCACCAACUGAGAGGAACCUCAGCAUGGAGAGAGCAGACCUUGAUGGAGAACAAAAGGGGGCAUCUUUUCGACAGAGAAAAGAUACUUAAGAAUUAACCCCCAUAGGGGACAACACCUUUGAAUGUAGUGCCAUGAGACACUGCUUCAUUUUUUUCAAAAAAGGUAGGGAGAGGCACUGCUUCAAAGGCUGCCAUGUGAUAGAAGAGAAUUAAUAGAAUAAAGCAGGCUGUGAGUAGCCCCCCAAAUAACCAGUAACGAUGACACCAGCAAAGAUGUCAAAGAGCUGAGUGCUACGGGAGAGAGAAGGCUUCGUGAAGAAAGUUAAGAUUUCAAAGGGGCUUCAAAAGAUGGGACUGAUUCUGGAGUUCUCUGGUGGCUCAGCAGGUUAAGGAUCCAGAAUGGUCACUGCUGUAUCAAAGGUUCAAUCCCUGGCUUUGGGAACUUCCACACAUCACAGGCACGGAAAAAAAAAAAAAAAAAAAA